AACGAACGCUGGCGGCAUGCCUAACACAUGCCAGUCGAACGAGACCUUCGGGUCUAGUGGCGCACGGGUGCGUAACGCGUGGGAACCUGCCAUUAGGUUCGGAAUAACUCCCCGAAAGGGGUGCUAAUACCGGAUAAUGUCUUCGGACCAAAGAUUUAUCGCCUUUGGAUGGGCCCGCGUUGGAUUGGCUAGUUGGUAGGGUAAAAGCCUACCAAGGCGACGAUCCAUAGCUGGUCUGAGAGGAUGCUCAGUCACACUGGGACUGAGACACGGCCCAGACUCCUACGGGAGGCAGCAGUUGGGAAUAUUGGAGAAUGGGCGAAAGCCUGAUCCAGCAAGGCCGCGUGAGUGAUGAAGGCCUUAGGGUUGUAAAGCUCUUGGACCCGAGAUGAUAAUGACAGUACCGGGAGAAUAAGCACCGGCUAACUCCGUG
rnacentral:rRNA from 1 species